UACAGAGGUCCCAAGCGUUGUUCGGAUUCACUGGGUGUAAAGGGUGCGUAGGUGGCCAGGUAAGUUUGAUGUGAAAGCUCGGAGCUUAACUCCGAAAUGGCAUUGAAUACUAUCUGGCUUGAGGGUCGGAGGGGAGACUGGAAUUCUCGGUGUAGCAGUGAAAUGCGUAGAUAUCGAGAGGAACACCAGUGGCGAAGGCGAGUCUCUGGACGACACCUGACACUGAGGCACGAAAGCUAGGGGAGCAAACAGG
rnacentral:rRNA from 1 species